rnacentral:piRNA from 1 species
UACCUGACUCAGAAGUGCCUGUGA